AUUUAUCAUGUGAUUACAUACAAGUGUAAAAAAAAUACCCAUGAAGUUGAAUUUCUUUCCUGAAUUCUCAAGAUUGAGAUAAAGACAUAGGAAAAUUCUAAAAAUUAGAGAUAAUUAAACAAGCUAGGAACUAGUUAGUAGUAGUGAGGUCCUCUCUAUAGCCUGAUUUGCACGGUCUUCCUCUCCAGCCAUGGACUAGUUAGUAGCAGUGAGGUUCUCUCUAUAGCCUGAUUUGCCCGGUCUUCCCCUCCAGCCAUAGACUCCGGACCUUCUUCCUCAUCUAGGGUUGGCAAGCCAUGAACUCUAUCUGGUAUAUGCUACGCUCCCUGGCUCAACCCACGCGACGAGUUUAUACAGUCUAUCAGUACAUGAUAUUGUACUGUGACUGGGCUUGUCAUCGUCGAUGCCCUCGGCAUGGGAAGAUGUGGAUACCAAGAAAGCUUGAUAUCCUAACUGCAACUUCAAGCCAAAAUGUGGACACUCGAAAGAAUUAGAAAACAUGUUCCAGAUUAUUUAUUUGCAGCAAAAUUAAUCAACAAAAUCCCAUUAGAGAUAGAAUAUACGAAGAUCAAUUAACAGAUAACCAAUUAUUUUCUAUUAGAUUAAUUUCUAAACUAAAACCGCAGGAUCCAAACAAGAUGUCAAACAAGAGAGAUAUGCAAUUCUCCAGUCAAGAUGUCAAACAGAAAUGACUGUCUAGGGUUUAGUAUAUACCUAAUUCUGGUAAAUCAUGGAUGCGAUUGGUGGUUGAGGACGAUCAAGAUCAUCAACAUCGUCUUGGCCUUCAUCAUCAUCUAGGGUUUCCAGAGCUACCUCACACAUUCCAACCACCAUCUCUUAUUUUAGAAGAAAAACCCUAAUAGAACCCCCAAAACACAUGUAAGAGUUUUUCAAUGUGCAUAAACCACUCAAUACUGGAUCAAUUUAUAGAGAUGAUAGGGGAGUUGGAGUAGUAAACAAUGGUUACUGUUUGGCAAGUAUGCUAGCGCUAUUCCUACUCAGUAUUCACCAACCUUAUUUCUCUCUUUUUACAAGCUUACCAACCUUAUUUCUCCAUAAUUACGGUUAAACUUUCUCUUAAAUUAUG
rnacentral:lncRNA from 1 species